UACGUAGGGUGCAAGCGUUGUCCGGAAUUAUUGGGCGUAAAGAGCUCGUAGGCGGUUUGUCGCGUCUGCUGUGAAAAUCCAGGGCUUAACCCUGGACCUGCAGUGGGUACGGGCAGACUAGAGUGCGGUAGGGGAGAUCGGAAUUCCUGGUGUAGCGGUGAAAUGCGCAGAUAUCAGGAGGAACACCGGUGGCGAAGGCGGGUCUCUGGGCCAUAACUGACGCUGAGGAGCGAAAGCGUGGGGAGCGAACAGG
rnacentral:rRNA from 1 species